CCUCCUUCACCGGUACCUCCAUCGCCUCCGCCGGCAAGCCCGGAACCGACCUCGCCAGCUCCUCCUUCGCCGCCUCCUCCCAGCCCGGAACCGCCCUCGCCAGCUCCUCCUUCGCCGCCUCCUCCCAGCCCGGAGCCUCCCUCGCCAGCUCCCCCUUCGCCACCUCUUCCCAGCCCGGAACCGCCCUCGCCAGCUCCUCCUUUGCCACCGCCUCCCAGCCCGGAACCGCCCUCGCCAGCUCCUCCUUCGCCGCCUCCUCCCAGCCCGGAGCCUCCCUCACCAGCUCCUUCGCCUCCUCCUCCCAGCCCGGAGCCUCCCUCGCCCGCUCCUCCUUCGCCGCCUCCUCCCAGCCCGGAGCCUCCCUCGCCAGCUCCUCCUUUGCCACCUCCUCCCAGCCCGGAACCGCCCUCGCCAGCUCCUCCUUCGCCACCUCCUCCCAGCCCGGAACCGCCCUCACCAGCUCCUUUGCCGCCUCCUCCCAGCCCGGAGCCUCCCUCGCCAGCUCCCCCUUCGCCUCCUCCUCCCAGCCCGGAACCGCCCUCGCCAGCUCCCCCUUCGCCACCUCCUCCCAGCCCGGAACCGCCCUCGCCAGCUCCCCCUUCGCCACCUCCUCCCAGCCCGGAACCGCCCUCGCCAGCUCCCCCUUCGCCGGCUCCUCCCAGCCCGGAACCGCCCUCGCCAGCUCCCCCUUCGCCGGCUCCUCCCAGCCCGGAACCGCCCUCGCCAGCUCCCCCUUCGCCGGCUCCUCCCAGCCCGGAACCGCCCUCACCAGCUCCCCCUUCGCCGCGUCCUCCCAGCCCGGAGCCUCCCUCGCCGGUACCUCCAUCGCCGCCGCCUCCCAGCCCGGAACCGCCCUCGCCAGCUCCUCCUUCGCCGCCUCCUCCCAGCCCGGAGCCUCCCUCGCCAGCUCCCCCUUCGCCACCUCCUCCCAGCCCGGAGCCUCCCUCACCAGCUCCUUCGCCUCCUCCUCCCAGCCCGGAGCCUCCCUCGCCGGUACCUCCUUCGCCGCCUCCUCCCAGCCCGGAACCGCCAUCGCCAGCUCCCCCUUCGCCGGCUCCUCCUUUGCCCCUGCCCCCGAGCCCGCAUACACAAUCGCCACCCAGUCCGGUACCUCCCUCCCCAGCUCCAUCUGCACCCUCCCCACCCAGCCCACAGCCGCCGUCUCCUUUGGCUCCAUCACCACCCAGCCCCGCUCCCCAGGCGCCAUCAUCACCGUUUCCGCCACCGCAGCCCACGGCUCCUACAGCACCGCCGCCACCAUUUCCUCCCU
rnacentral:lncRNA from 1 species